UAAUUUAUAAAGGAGAAAUAAAAGUAGGAUUAAAAGAAAUAAAACAACGCUUCGCAUCUGUUCAAGUUAAUUUUUUUAUUCCAAAUUAACUGAGAGAUGUUUUGACAGAUGGAGUUGGAAUCAAAAAGUCCGAAUGACUCCGAAUCGAAUGGAAGCAUUCAGAUUCGAACAUGUUUAAGUGGUGGGGAUAUGAGCUACUUUUGGGGGAUACACACAAUAAAACAAUAUUUGUAGGCAAUGCUAUCCGCAACGGGGGGUUACGUUAAGGGACGGCUCCUACUAAAUCGAGGUGCCUCUAUACCAACGGAGUUCAUGUACGUUACCUGAACAAAGGAAUAGUGGUGGUUUUGGUACGUUUAGGUAGCGGUAGGAAUGCGAACCAGAAGUACUAGGCAUAGUUGCAAACAGAUAGUCGGAGUGUCUAAAUCAAGCCGUUGAGAGUAAAGUUGUUCUGUACCGGCUGAAAAUUCGAAGAAACUUUCGUAAAAAGUUAAGAAACAAAAAUCAAAAUUGUGUGGGUUCGGGUCGAAGAGGCAGGACGACGACGACGACAGCGUCGCCCGGAUGAAGAAGCAACAUAAAGGGCACAAAACAAACGUUGAGUCAGGUGCACGAGAAGCUGUAACAAAAAAAUGAAGUGAUGAGUACCUA